AUUGAACGCUGGCGGCAUGCUUUACACAUGCAAGUCGAGCGGCAGCGCGGGGGCAACCCUGGCGGCGAGCGGCGAACGGGUGAGCAAUGCAUCGGAACGUAUCCUCGAGUGGGGGAUAACCCAGCGAAAGUUGGGCUAAUACCGCAUGAGCUCUGAGGAGGAAAGCGGGGGACCUGCGAGGGCCUCGCGCUGGAGGAGCGGCCGAUGUCCGAUUAGCUAGUUGGUGGGGUAAAGGCUUACCAAGGCGACGAUCGGUAGCUGGUCUGAGAGGAUGAUCAGCCACACUGGGACUGAGACACGGCCCAGACUCCUACGGGAGGCAGCAGUGGGGAAUUUUGGACAAUGGGGGCAACCCUGAUCCAGCCAUGCCGCGUGAGUGAAGAAGGCCUUCGGGUUGUAAAGCUCUUUCGGACGGAACGAAAUGGGCGGGACUAAUACUCCUGUCUGAUGACGGUACCGUAAGAAGAAGCACCGGCUAACUACGUG
rnacentral:rRNA from 1 species